rnacentral:rRNA from 1 species
GACGAACGCUGGCGGCGUGUUUAAGACAUGCAAGUCGCACGGGAUAAGACAUGUAGUAAUACUUGCUUUAUUUAGUGGCGCACGGGUGAGUAACACGUGAAUUACAUGCCCUAUAGUAGGGAAUAGCCCAGGGAAACUUGGAUUAAUACCCCAUGGUAUCGAAAGAUUGAAGGUGGCCGCAAGGCUGUCGCUAUAGGAUUGGUUCGCGCCCUAUCAGCUUGUUGGUGAGGUAACGGCUCACCAAGGCAAUGACGGGUACCUGGUCUGAGAGGACGAUCAGGCACACUGGAACUGAGACACGGUCCAGACACCUACGGGUGGCAGCAGUCGAGAAUAAUUCACAAUGGGGGCAACCCUGAUGGUGCAACGCCGCGUGGAGGAUGACGGUCUUCGGAUUGUAAACUCCUGUCAUCUGGGAGAAAGACCUGACGGUAAAUAGCCGGCAGGGUUGAUAGUACCAGAAGAGGAAGGGACGGCUAACUUCGUGCCAGCAGCCGCAGUAA